UACGAAGGACCCGAGCGUUAUCCGGAUUUAUUGGGUUUAAAGGGUGCGUAGGCGGAUUUAUAAGUCAGUGGUGAAAGCCUAUAGCUUAACUAUAGAAUUGCCAUUGAUACUGUAAGUCUUGAGUACAGUUGAGGUGGGCGGAAUGUGCAGUGUAGCGGUGAAAUGCUUAGAUAUUGCACAGAACACCUAUUGCGAAGGCAGCUCGCUAAGCUGUAACCGACGCUGAGGCACGAAAGUGUGGGUAGCGAACAGG
rnacentral:rRNA from 1 species